AUGGACUAAAAUUGCUUGACUGCACAUUCCCGAGACAAGAUAUUACAGUAUUUGCAUUUUACAACUGAAAUCGCCCGUUUUGUUGUGUGGCAAUGGCUGCCGCAAUUUGGGCCUCCUCUUCUUCAUUCGCUCGCGCUCUCCACCCUCUCCUCAGUCGGCACACAUCUCUCUCCCCGCUUAACUAUAGUCUACAUCGCUUUAAAUCAGCUAGUUAUUUAUUUUUCUCGACAAGCAGUAAUAAACCUCCAAAAUUGGCUGUUUACGCUCAAGCUAGGCGAGCUUUAUCUCCUAAAAUCAAAGGAGACGAAGUGGCUUCUCCUGCUGAUUUGAGUUUCGAGGGGCCUCUGAAAAUUAUAGAAUAUCCAGACCCGAUCCUGAGAGCAAAGAACAAAAGAAUUGGUACAUUUGACGAUAAUUUGAAGAAAUUAGUCAACGAAAUGUUCGAUAUUAUGUAUAAAACUGAUGGCAUUGGGCUGUCUGCACCACAAGUUGGAAUGAACGUUCAACUAAUGGUAUUUAAUGCAGCUGGUGAACGUGGAGAGGGGGAGGAGAUUGUUCUCGUCAAUCCACGUGUUAGUAGAUAUUCUAGGAGGAUCAUACCUUAUGACGAAGGUUGCUUAUCUUUUCCAGAGAUAUAUGGAGAUGUUGAGAGACCAGACUCAGUGAAGGUAGACGCUCAGGACAUUAAUGGUGCAAGGUUUGAGUUAACCUUGACUGCGCUUCCCGCACGAGUCUUCCAGCAUGAAUUUGAUCACCUACAGGGAGUUCUUUUCUUUGAGAAAAUGACUGACGAAGUCCUGGACACCAUCCGUGAAGAUUUAGUGGCUCUGGAAAAGAAAUUUGAGGAGAAGACUGGGUUGCCGACCCCUGAAAGCAUAAAUACACGGAAAAUAAAGAAGGCAGCUGUUGGAUUUGGCAAAUCAUGAGUUUACUGAAAUUGACGAAAAAUUCUCAGGUUAUUUGUGUGAUGAAGCACAAACUGGAAUGCCAGCUUUUGCAGAACUGUGGAUGAAUUGGGGAUCUAAAAUAAGAGGAAACCAAAGGAAUUGACUUUACCAAGUUUCGGGAGCUAUAGUGCAGAAAACUAUAGAAGAGCAGGAUCAAAUGUUGCGAAGGCGAUGAAAUGUGGGGAAAAGGGAAAUCUCGUCCAUGAAACCUGAUGGAGCUUUAUAUCAAUAAGCUACAUACCUCAACUUUUAGAUGUGGGGAUUUAGAAGUUAGAAUAUGAAGAUGUUAUCCAUGAAAGAAGAACGCACCGCAGAAGACGUGAUGUAUGUAUAUGUGCUUAAGGAGAACGGAGAUGGAAUACAUAUAAAAGCACUUAUUCAAAAAAAUAGAUAUAAACGAAUCAUCUUUUAUAGAGCAAGAAGCCUAAAGUUUUUGUGCGGACAAAAGCUUGAUAUUUAAGUGGAGAAGGGUAGAGGGACAAGCCCAU